AACUCACAAGCUAUGAGUGACAUCUAACCAUAUGUCAUAGCUACCCAAGCUAAUGUAGAAGUUGUUUGGAGAACCUAUUCAGUUGGAAUUACAAUGUAAUUCGAUCAUUCUCUAAAACAAUACUCUCAAUCACAUUACUAGGGUAUGGAUAUAUUAUGUCAAACCCCUAAUGUGAUUAUUCCUUCUUAUAUGAUUCAUUUGAGUCGUAUAGGAACGCUUUCCUUUAUUAUGCUCGAUACUUCGGCCGAAGAUUCCCGAAUCAUAUCUUAGAGUAUUCUUCCUCUCUAAUCGAGGAUUAGAGAUUCUUUGUUGCGCAUUCACUUGUCUUCAUGACUAAGUGGCUUAACCCCAAUUAUGCCGUGGACAUCCGCGAAUGGGGUGACUUUGACAUAAUCAAAGAUUAAGUACUUAGCCACAAGACAAUGACGAUGCCUCAAGUCAAAGGACUACUUACAUUAUUCCAACCAUUAGAGUUACUUGCUUGACAUGUGAGUAGACCUUCAUGCAAGUACUCUCGUUCGAUUGUGUUCAGUGAACUCAUUCUCUUAAUGAGCACCUACAUACUUGUCUUAGUGUCACUAUACAAAUGGGAUAAGACUUUCCAUUCUUCCAUUUGAAGCGGACACAAUAUGUACCGGUCUAAGCAUUGUCAGUGUCCCUCCGACAAUCCAAUGACCAGGAACCUUUUUGGACUUAAUGGUUAUGUGAAGAAGGUCUCUUUAGUCUAACAUCAUUAGAUUACUUCUUCAAUCGAUCCAUUGUCCAUGGAUUCAUUAAUAAGGACAUAUAUCGUUUAUUAAGAUAGUCCUAAUUAGUAUCUUUGCCAUUUGAUGUAUAAGAGUCAUCCAUACAUCGAUUCAUUUGUCCUGAAAUGUUUCUUCCAAAGAUUGACUUUCAGGGCAUAUUUCCAACAUGGUUGGCAGUGUGCCUUGAAAAGAGGGAAAGUCUUGCUGACAGAAAAAUCAGAGAAGGAGCGAGGAGAGCAUAUGGGAAACAAAAACAAAAGCAACAAAGGUGCAGAGGAAAGGCAAAAGCAAUCAAGUGAGCUACGGGAAACAGAAAUAAAAGCAAAAGAGAAAGCAAAAACAAGGAAUAAACACCCCACCAAAAUGAUGUGAUUUGCUUUUCUUGUUUUUGUGUGAUGUGAUUUAUUUUUUAUCUUUCGGAAACAUCUGUAUAAACCCUAUCAGAGGGUAAUCCAAAAAAAAAAACGGCAAAGCCCAAAAUAAAUGGGCUGGAAUGUUGUGUGGAGAACGAAGGCCCAUAAGCCCAAAAUAGCACCAACCAGGUGACCAAAAGUACGCUCAGUACUAGAAAAAAUUAUUUGGCACCUUGUCGCUAUUACCACCAACCAGGUGUUCAAAAGUACGCCCAAUACUCCAAAACUAUUCGGCAACCUGCUGCUAUUAUCACCAACCAGGUGAUUAAAAGUACGUCCAGUACUCUAAAACUAUUCUGCAACCUGCCGCUAUUACCACCAACCAGGUGAUAAAAAAUACGCCCAGUACUUCAAAUUAUACAUGAGCAUUACUCAUGUCAAUCAUACACAAACAUUCAUGAGCAUUACUCAUGUCAAUCAUAAACAUUUAUGAGCAUCACUCAUAUCAAUCAUACAUAAACAUUCAUGAGUAUCACUCAUGUCAACAUUCAUAAGCAUUACUCAUGUCAACAUCCAUGAGCAUCACUCAUGUCAAUCAACAUAAACAUUCAUGAGCAUCACUCAUGCCAAUAAGCUUCAAAAGCUUCAUUUACAAAAGCUCUAGCUUCAAAAGCUUCAAUUAUAGAGCUUUAGCUUCAAAAGCUUCAUUUACAAAAGCCCUAAUUUCAAAAGCUUCAUUUACAAAAGCCCUAGCUUCAAAAACUUCAUUUAUAGAGCUUUAGCUUCAAAAGCUGCAUUUACAAAAGCUCUAGCUUCAAAAGCUUCAUUUACAGAGCUCUAGCUUCAAAGCUUUACUUGCAAAGCUUCACCUACAAAGCUUCAAUGAAGGGUAUACAAAUACUGAUGCGAAAUAUAUAAGCACAUAAAUUAAACUCUCUUUAUCAAUUGUAGCAAAGUAUGUAAGUAGGGAUCGUUCUAAACCGGGGAUUAUGAGGGAUUGCUAAACACUUGAAAACUGACUUAAAAACGUAAAAACAAAGUUUAAAACACU
rnacentral:lncRNA from 1 species